rnacentral:misc_RNA from 1 species
UCCGGUUUGUCACCGGCAGUCUCGUUAAAGUGCCCAACUAAAUGAUGGCAAUUAACGACAAGGGUUGCGCUCGUUGCGGGACUUAACCCAACAUCUCACGACACGAGCUGACGACAGCCAUGCAGCACCUGUGCAGAGACCCUUGCGGGAGAUACCAUCUCUGGUACUGUCCUCUGCAUGUCAAACCUGGGUAAGGUUCUUCGCGUUGCAUCGAAUUAAACCACAUGCUCCACUGCUUGUGCGGGUCCCCGUCAAUUCUUUUGAGUUUCAGCCUUGCGACUGUACUCCCCAGGCGGUAUACUUAACGCGUUAGCUUCGGCACAGCUAGGGUUGAUUCCAGCUACACCAAGUAUACAUAGUUUACGGCAAGGACUAC